rnacentral:rRNA from 1 species
AUUGAACGCUAGCGGGAUGCUUUACACAUGCAAGUCGAACGGAGUGGCGGACGGGUGAGUAAUAUAUCGGAACGUGCCCAGUAGCGGGGGAUAACUACUCGAAACAGUGGCUAAUACCGCAUACCAUCGGAGCGGCCGAUAUCGGAUUAGCUAGUUGGGGGGGAAAAGGCUCACCAAGGCAACGAUCCGUAGCUGGUUUGAGAGGACGACCAGCCACACUGGAACUGAGACACGGUCCAGACUCCUACGGGAGGCAGCAGUGGGGAAUAUUGGACAAUGGGGGAAACCCUGAUGCAGCCAUGCCGCGUGUAUGAAGAAGGCCUUCGGGUUGUAAAGUACUUUCAGCGGAGAGGCGUUAUCUGCAGAAUAAGCACCGGCUAACUACGUGCCAGCAGCCGCGGUAAUUC